AAAAACAAAAGUACGCGUUCUGCAGUACAAAAGUUAGAAGAGGCAUCUCAAAUAGUGGAAAGUGCCAAACUCCGCAACACGGUAGUGUUCCAGUGUUUGCAGGAAGAGCACGAAACAAAACAAAGGCAGAUGGCUGAAACACAAGAGCUCAAACAGAAGCAACUUGCCGAAGCUCACGAAAGGGCUAGACAGGAGCAUCUUCUAAGGCUCAAAUUGUUACAGCAGCAAUUAAAUGAAUAAUUAUAUACUUAUAAAAAAAUAAAACCCCUGUUUUAAAUGAAAUAUAACUUUUUAUUUAUUUGUAGUCCUUAACUAUCCACACCUAUGUAAAUAAAACAGCCUUAAAAAUAUGUUUCAAUAAAAGCAGCUCUAGCAGCUUGUCCAGCCAGAUUGCUUGGGGGCGUCUAGGUUGGCCUUGGUUCUUCUGGAGCAUUCUCAGUGUCAUCAUACGUAACAUCCAGGUCUUCUUUGAUAUCAAUAGCAAUAUUGUGGAGGAUUGCCAGUGGUACUAUAUAUAAUUUGGCAUUUUCUAAUGACACUGAGAAGCCAUGAAGAAGACACCUAAAUCGAAAACCCUCCAACUCUAUUACUCUUUUCGACAUCAGCUCGCACUAUGUCACAGAUCUUCAUAACAUACUUCUUUGAAAAGCAGUAUUUUGUUUUGAAAUCGCCAUGCGAAAGU